rnacentral:rRNA from 1 species
ACCUACGGGAGGCAGCAGUGGGGAAUUUUGCGCAAUGGGCGAAAGCCUGACGCAGCGACGCCGCGUGAGGGAAGAAGGUUUUCGGAUCGUAAACCUCUGUCGGGGGGGAAGAAACUAUCGGCGAUUAAUACUCGCCGGUAUUGACGGUACCCCCUAAGGAAGCAUCGGCUAACUACGUGCCAGCAGCCGCGGUAAUACGUAGGAUGCAAGCGUUGUUCGGAAUUAUUGGGUGUAAAGGGCGCGUAGGUGGCCCUGUAAGUCAUGGGUGAAAUCCCUCGGCUUAACCGAGGAAUUGCCUAUGAUACUGCAGGGCUUGAGUACGGGAGAGGGAAGUGGAAUUCCUGGUGUAGCGGUGAAAUGCGUAGAUAUCAGGAGGAACACCGGUGGCGAAGGCGGCUUCCUGGACCGAUACUGACACUGAGGCGCGAAAGCGUGGGUAGCAAACAGGAUUAGAUACCCCGGU